CUCCCAGACUCCUACGGGAGGCAGCAGUGGGGGAUAUUGCACAAUGGGGGGAACCCUGAUGCAGCGACGCCGCGUGGGUGAAGGAGUGCUUCGGCAUGUAAAGCCCUAUCGGCAGGGAAGAAGCAAGACGGUACCUGACUAAGAAGCCCCGGCUAACUACGUGCCAGCAGCCGCGGGAAUACGUAGGGGGCGAGCGUUAUCCGGAUUCACUGGGUGUAAAGGGAGCGUAGACGGCCAUGCAAGCCAGGGGUGAAAGCCCGGGGCCCAACCCCGGGACUGCUCUGGGAACUGUGCGGCUGGAGUGCGGGAGGGGCAGGCGGAAUUCCUGGUGUAGCGGUGAAAUGCGUAUAUAUCAGGAGGAACACCGGCGGCGAAGGCGGCCUGCUGGACCGCGACUGACGUUGAGGCUCGAAAGCGUGGGGAGCAAACAGGAUUAGAUACCCCUGUAC
rnacentral:rRNA from 1 species